CAUUUUCUGUAUGUGGCGUGAUUUGAAUUGAUGAAAUGGAGGAAGUUUAAUUCUUUUUGCAUUCGUGAGAUCCUAUUUAGUUCCAAUCAAAUUUGUGCCCUGCAGAAUCGGUGGGCAACUCUUUAGUCUUUGUUAGUUACAGCUAAUGUUUUUACAUUUGAACAUAGGAAUAAAAAAUUAUAGCAGCUUUCCUAUUCCGAUUGGAUUUUACUGGUCCAUUCUAAGGAGAUAUUGCAGGGUUGUAUUGUAUACAACAUAAGCUUCGUGCUCUGUAUUGG
rnacentral:misc_RNA from 1 species